AUCCCCCGUCGCUGUGCUCAGCCGGGAGCAGAGCGGACAGCGCCAGCCUGAGCGGAGCACCGUGCGUCCCCACCCGCCGGGCCAGGUACCGCUGGGGGCGCCGACCCCCAGUCCAGGGCACCGGGCGGGCAGAGCUCUACUGUGCACCCUCCCGUCCGUAGCUGGGCUCUGGGCAGCGCCUGUUACCCGUCCCGUCCCGGGCAGACACCCCAGCCUCCCGCGAGCCAGAACCCCGCGCGCUCUGGGCUCAGUCCGGGGACUCGCCACUCAGGGGUCAGUUCUGAGCUUGAACUGGUAUCCUGGGAAAGGCAUUUCGCCGCCUCAGGGCCUGUCGGCAGGGCCAGGAGGGACAGCAGGAGGUCAGCAGCACUCGGGGCUGGGGCCACAGGACGCCUUGUUGGGGGCUCGGGCGGUGAGCGAUGGGCUUCCCGAGGCAGGGCCCACGGGGACUAGCUAGAGAGGGUCCCGGAGGGGGGCCUAAAAGGGCCCGGGAGCGGGCUCUGGAGCGCUGCCCCGACGGGCGCCUGACAGGCAAAUCUGCCCGGCUGGCACACCGGGAGUCUGGGUAUAUUUAUCCCGGCUGCGUUGGGCAGGGGCUUGAGGGCAGAUCGGGCCAGGCUGCCUGAGGGGCCGUGGGGCACAUGUUGGUCCCAGAGUCCGUGCCAUUUGCAGCCGGGCCAGCGGGCACGGCAGGAACAGGGCGCGUGUGGCUCCCUGGCCUGAGGGCGGGGCUCUGUGUGCUCUCCUUGCUGCCUCAUUCCCCGGUGGGGGUAUAAGAGCUGGCGCCGCGCACGCGGGCGGAGGGAAAGGACCAAAACCGGGUUUGCAGGAGCCCGCCCCCGUUCCAUUGGCCCCUUCGAUUGGCCACAGCGAAUGCGUGCGUUUGUUUACACCCGGGGAGGGGGAGGCCAGGGGCGGGGCCUGUGGGAAUCCGCCCUCUCCCCCCAGGGUGACCUGAGCGCUGAGCUCAGGUGUAAGCUCUAGGACAAGUCUGAAAGGGACUAAGUCAAAGGUCCUUGCACCUUGCACCCUGGGGGACUCCUGGACCCAGGCCCAUCCUUCCUUCAGUCGCCCAGUCCUGUCCUUUCUUCCAUGACUUCCUUGGGCCACUGUUCUGGAAGAGGCCUUUGGACCUUCCACCCCUUCCUCUUCAGUAAACAGUUGCAUGGGAGUUCAGUUCCUUCAAGAAAGGAAGAAAACUCUUCAGAGCUUUUCAGUCUGGAGCCUAGAAAGCUGAAGAGAUCUGGGGACAGUUCCAUUUUGAGAUGGGGAAGUUCUGCACAACCAUGGAAGUCUUCCUGCAGGAAGCACUAGAUGUAGGAGGAAUCAGGGUGGGUGAGGCCAGGCGUGGCACAUCUCCAAGAGGGCUGGAAUGACUGGAAUCAUUCCAUGAGAGUCUCUGACCCUUUGGGGUUGGGGACAGGGGACUGGUUCUCUGGGGAGGGGAGGGGUAUAUGUCUCAGAACCUCACUCUGCCUGAGCUCAUAGAGGCCAUGUCCUCACUGGCUUCUCAAACCACUCUUUCUUCAGUACUGGUUCUUUUGGCCCUCAUCACAACCUCACCACACACACCCAGUCCAGGGCUCAAGGUGGCCAGACCAUGAGAAUCAGUUGCUCCUGUCCUGGUGCCUGCUGCCCUAGCAAGUAGCCAUGGAACCUUGGGCAAAUAGAGAAAAUGAGGCACAACAGGUCUCUGGGUAGUGUCGGGGAAGGUUUUUGAGCUAAACUAAGUGUACCCUGAAAGUCCAGGCUGGGUGUGGAACAAACAGGCACUCAUUCUAAGGGGAAAGCAUGUUUUAGGGGAGUGGUUGGCUGCAAGGGAGGUACAGUUUGGUAUCUGUGUGCACAGAAAGCCUGUGUGGGAUGUGUAUACUAUGCUGUAGUAAGAUAGGAGCUCUGCAGGCACAUGAUCUAGUUCAGACAUGACCAGGGUCCAGGGGCCACUUGGAGCUGGGUUGAGAUGGGUUGGGGGCUUGCCAAGGGCCUUGAACCCAUUCUAUUCCUUUUACAACAUUUGCUGAGCACCUACUAUGUGCCCUGCAAACAUUCAGUCUGGUGAGUGGAGGGCUGGCCUUUGACUCUGGAUAAGAAGACAGAUGCGGUGGUGGGGUGGGGAGGACUCUAGAAGACCAGGCGGGGCUUCUGGGGGCCAAAGGGAAGGACCAGCUGCUGGGGCAGGAGGGGCUUUCCGGUCAGCGGCCUGGGGUGGCUUGGUUUUGAAUUUCCGCUCUGCGGGCCACGUCCUGUACACAGCCUCUCAGCCGGCACGUCUGCACACGUGCAUGACUGCUGAGAAUGGGGGUCACCAUCACCUCUGUGUAUCUUUUCCAUUGUGUGGGUAGACAGUGCUGGACUGGGGAGUGGUGAGCUUUCCAGCUGGGCCUGGACCUGCAGCCCUAGUGGGCUCAGACCCGCUGUCUGGAUGUCCCUGCACCUAGCUAAUGGAGGCAUAACCUGCUCUUGUAGGAACCUGCAGAUGCUGGGCAGCCUUCUUGUGGGGUCCUCCAGGGUUCUGCCUGGCCAUCCCUGAAGUGCCCACUGGGCCUGCAGCCCACUCGCCUGGGCCUCUGGCUCCCUCUUCCCUCUCACUCCUUCUGGGGUCCUCUCUGUCUUUCGUUGGCUGUCUCCCUGUCUCUCUGUCUCUUUUUCCAUUUAGCUAUCUCUGGCUGGUUGGCCAUCGCUGUCUCUCAGCUCUCUGGUUGUCUGUCUCUCUCUGUCUCCCUGUCUGAAUGUGUAUCCACCUUCUUCUGUGUGUAUUUUCCUGUUGGUGUACCUUUAUAUCCAUCUGCAUUUCUCUAUCUCCCUGUGCCUCUCUGUCUCUUUUUCUGUCCAGAUCAGUAUUCAUGCACUGCAUGUAUGUGUUUUCUGCCCUUCCUCUUUCCUUGCCCCUCUCUUCCCUCCCUCUGCCGCUCUGCUUCUGCCUGACAUUGAAUGGUGCCUCUCCUCCAGGCCAACCUUGCCUUUAGCCCCUCCCCCCUUCCACUGGGGUCUCCAAUGAGUCCUGAGCUGCCCCAGGCCCCUGCUCCAGCUUUCCUUGGGGCCAGAAGUCCGGCUGUCCAAAUAUUUGGCCGCCUCCAGGGGAUUCCGGGUCAGCAGGGAGGAGGAUGGGCUGGCUGGCUCGGGGUCUCCCCUGCCCCUGGGGGGCCACAGGCACGUGAUGUCCUGUCCUUUGCCUUGGCUGGGCCUCCAGCUGCACGUCCCUCUCAGCGGGCUGGCAAUGGGGGGAGGGGGCUGCUGCUGGCUCUGGCCCAGUCUUGACCAAGAGGUUCCAGCUGCAGCCUCCACUGGGGGAGCAAGGAGGGUCCUGGGCUGGGUGGGAGGGGAGGCCUAGGGGUCUGGGGCAAGGUCCAACUCCAGGCAUCUGUUGGGUGUCUAGCAAAUGUACCCUGUCACAGGAAAGUCCAACUUCCGGCCCCAGCUGGGCCCCUCAGAUCCUCCUAGACACUUCCGGAUGCCCAGAACACAGAAGCACAGACCCCACACACCAGGGCCAAGGAGCUAAACUAUGAGGGAUCGGUGUUGCCAACACAUCAAUGUUCUGGGCCAUCUUCCUUUCCUUGGAUGUGCCCUCUCCUCCAUACCACCCCCCUCAGUACCAGCCAGGUGUUGACCUUGCAGUGGCCAUUUGCCCAGUGUUGUUGAUGAUGAAGGAGCAGUGGAAGGGGUACUGGAUCUACCGAGGUCAAAAUCUGGAGUUGUGCGUCUGGAGGAAGAGCUAGGGGUGCACAGGGCUGUAGUAUUCUCCCCUGUUCAGAACACCCUUCCAUAUGCCCUAGCCCUAGCCCCCUGACCUCAGCAAUGAUCUCCUCACCAAUCCCUGGGGCUGUGCCUUGAGAACAUAUAAUUCAGACAUGUCCAUUGAAUCUAGUUUCCUUGUUGACUGACAGCUUGUCCUAAGAUGAUGUUCUCCUUCUGAAGCCUGGAGAAGAAGGUGGGCAGGGAGUGCCAAGAUAGGAGGGGCACCUUGUCUCAGCCAGGAGGGGACUAAGGAUGGCUGAGCUGGAACUGAGAGCAGCCUUCAUCCCUGAGCCUCCAGGGAUAACCACAACAGACCCUCAGGCCAGACCAGCUGCCUCUCCCCUGAGAUCUGGGCUGAGGCUAGGACUUCCCAGGCACCAGAAGCCUGGGGACCAUGGCAACAAGUUCUAUGGGGUCUGUGCCUCGAUCAGCACAGACGGCCAGGAAGGACUGAGGGAAGAACAGUGUGGAUGCCUCCCUGUAGCCAGCCUGACACUGCAGACCCAUUUAUGUCCCUGAGCAUUAGGGAGGAAAGCAGGGCUCAAGUCCCUGGUGGUUCCAAGGACCUCAAUCCUGGGACAGAGAGGUAUGUGUCCUACAGCAGCUGAUGCAAGCAGUGGGCCUGUGGUGGCCUGGAUUCCUGGGCCUCGAAAUCUUUAAUUAGCCAAACUCAACACCUGCCAAGGUGUGCCUGACAAGUUCUCACCCUGUGAUGCCCGCGUGGGCGAGCGUUACCUACUGCACUAUCCCUGUGGCUCCUGGCCUCUCCUAGCCCUUAUCUCCCAGCAGAGCAAACAGGGCCCAGGGCAGUGGCCCAGGCCAUCGAUUUCCUGCCCAAGUCCAUUCUGCACCCAUGACCGAUGCUAUUCUGAUGAUCUGCCCAAGGUCGCAGUGACAGCCCCACACUAGAACCUGACCCCUCUCUGGAAGCCCAUGGCAUGGUCUGGGACAAAGGCCUUGGAGAGGAUCCUCACUCUGUCCCCAGCUUUGCCAAACUUCUGGGGACCUCUGCAGGGCAGGAGGACACUGAGGUCCUGAGUGGGGAAUACUCUACCCGUGGUCACACAGUAAGGCAGGGCCAGGCCAGGACUCAGACUCCGAAUGUCCACUGUGGACUUUCUCAACAGUGGGUCAGAUUCUGCUGGCAGAUUUCCCUGAGUCCACCCUGACUCCCUGAUACAAAGGAGCCUGGGAGGUGGUAGGCCUGAGGGAUGGGAACUGUCAGAAAUGGGCUGCCAGCCUCAGGGAAUGGCUGAGAGUCCACAUGCCAGGCUAGCACUCCACUCUGGCUGCUUAGCCCUUAGCCCUGCCCUACACUGAAGUACAGACUCAUUGACCUGGCCUUCAAGGCUUUGUCAGGUUUGUCUAUAGCCAUGGAACCUUCAUUCUGCCUCAUACCACACCUUAGAGCCUUUGCCCAUGCUGUGCCCUCUGCUUAAGGCAUUCUUUGCUAUUCCACACUUUUGGGACUCCUGGAAUUUCAGAAAUGGCUCCAUCACCUCCUCUGCCAGGAAGCCUUCCUUGAUGCCUCUCUCCCCCCUUUUUUGAGUCCCAGCACUAUGUGGCUCAUAUUUAGUUGUUGCAGGAACUAUAAGGUGGGGGCUAUGUUUGGGGAUUUUGUCCCUUCCAGACCAGAAGCCAUUUAGGGAAGGAUAUUCCAUGUCCUCUCUGGGACCUCAAACCAGCCCAAGAUCCAGCAGUGACUGGUUUUGAGUAUCAGACAGGCUGUGAAGGUCUAGGUGUAGGUCCUGCUGGGGGGAUGGGGAACCUGGAUACAGGAACUCGGGCACUUUGGCCAUGACCAUGCCGUGGGCUGUGGUCUCCCUGGAGGUAGUGCUGGCUGCUAGGGAAGGAUAUUAAGGCAGAGAAGGGUGCUUUGUCCAAGCUGCCAACUCAGCACACUCUGAGGGCCUGUCCCAGCCUGCCCAGGGUGGGAGGCCCGAAAAGGACAACCCUAGCUGAGAGCCAGGGGGCACUCUGGAGUGACUCUGGAGAUGAGGUGCUGGCAUCUCCACAUCCAGCUGGGAUCCUUGGAGAGGUGCUGAUAGUGAGGCUUAGGGCAGAGACUCAUCCAGGGGAAGAGGGCACGAGAGAUGUUCACAUUGUCAUGGACCUGAAUGGACAGGGCUGGAGGUGAGAUGGGUUCAGAUGCCAGCAUCAGAAGAAAGAGAGGCAGGCCGAGGGGGCCCGAGGGUUCCAAGUGUGGAGUCUCCAGGACCGAGGUUCCUGGGAUCUGAACUCUGGCCUGGGGCUGCCUGGGGCAAUGGUGGGCUGGUCCUUUAGUCAGUUCUGUGUGGCUGCUGCCUCCAGGACACUGGGGCCUGAGGCCUGAACCCAGCCUUCUGUCCCCACACAUAGCCCCAAGUGCUAAGAACACUGGUGUUCUGGGUUCUAAGUAGACCUGAGACCAUCAGGAUCCGGAGUGGGGAUGGGGGGUUCAGGGCGGGAUUCAGGAUUCCCAAGCAGAGAGCUUGUCAUGGCACCAAGCCUAGGCUCCGAUAGGGACACCUGGCUGGCUCAGUCAGUAGAGCAGGUCACUCUUGAUCUCAGAGUUGUAUGUUUGAGCCCCAUGUUGAGUGUAGUGAUUACUUAAAAUUAAAAUCUUUUUUUUUAAAUUAAAAUCUUAAAAAAACAAAACAAAAAACAGGCUAGGCUGUGGCUGACCUGCAUGGCAGUGCUGCCCCCUCCCUGGUCUCGACUAGAGUCUUAGCUCUCCUUCUGGCCUCUCUGGCCUUCAGGAUGUCCUUAUAGAUCCUGGGGCACUGUGCCAGGUACCUUCUGGGCAUGGGGUAGGUGGCUUCCAGCCCCAGUGAUUGGGGGGGGGGAGCUGGCUCCUUAGAGGCCCAGCAGAGCCAUGCCCUGAGGGCAGGAAAGGGAGGACUGAUCCAGUGGCCUAGACUCCUCUACAGCUGCCUAAGACCCUGAGUUCCUGGCCUGGGGUUCUAGGAAAUGGAGAAUCUGCUCCAAUGGUCCACUACUGGAGGGUGGUCACCUAAGGGGUAGGGGUAUUCCCCCUAGCCCCUAGCAGGGGAAGAGAAGCUUGAAGGAGAACAUGGCCCUGAGGUCAUGGCUGUGUGGAGAGUGAGGCCUGUGUGGCUCAGAGAAUUCGGCCCUGGGACGCUCGUUUCCUGGAUGGCCCCCUGAGGGCCCUUUGCAGCCAGGCGGGCAGGGCCCAGGUGUCCAGCCACCCAGCACCGCCUCAGGCCUCCUGGCUCCGGGGGGGUAGCCUUUGCGCCUGCCGUUCCCAGCGCCAGCUCUCAGACCACAGAAGGCCCUUUGUUCUGGCUGCCAGCAGUGCCCGCCGGGCGGCUGGGAACAGGGCCCACAGCCCUCACCCUCUCCCAAGGCCUCCAGCCGUCGGGCAGUGCCAUUCUAGGUUGGCUAGGAGGCCCCUGGCACACAGGGCCGGCACAGGAAACCGUCUCCCGGUGUUAAUGUCAGGGAGGGGGUGUCAAUCCAGGGCCCACCACCAGCGCGGGGUCUGGAUUCCUGGGACUCAGCAUCCUGGGGUCCAGGCACCACUGGACUCUGAACUCAGGUCAUCCAGCUGAUCCUCACUUCGCAGAUGGAGAAACUGAGGUCCCAAGGGCUUGCCUGGACUGGUAUGUGAGUGGUGGGGGGAGUGCUACGUACUGGCCAAGGUGUCCCAUCAGGAUGUCUUGGAGAACUCAGGUAUCUGAGCUCUACUCCCCCAAAAGCAGGUCCCGGGGAGGCAGCAGGCACAGCUGCAUGUGCACAUAAAUCCUGAGUGAGCUUCUGGGAGGUGUGAUAGGCUGUAGACUCCCCAUGGGAGGCUGGGCCAUGGGUCCUGGGAGAAGGGAUAACCAGAGGGACCAUUGCUCUGCAGACCUUUGACUUGUGUUGGUGUGAGAGUCAGUGCUCCGGGUGGCAGACCCUGACCAUGGAGGCACCUCUGCAGACGGAAAUGGUGGAGCUGGUGCCCAACGGCAAACACUCAGAGGGGCUGCUCCCAGUCACCACCCCCACGGCUGUCAACCAGAGGUGAGCAGAGGGACCCAGUCGUGGUCAGGGCAGGGCAGGGUGCAGAGCAAGGGCCGGAGCUGAGCUGACUGCUCUGGCCUGUGCCUACAGGGUCGAAGGCCCCAGACGGAGCUGUGUUGAGGGCGAGGGCUUCCUACAGAAAAACCCCAGCAAGGAGCCACACUUCACAGACGUGAGCUGGAGGGCACAGUGGGGUGGGGGGCUUGGGAGAUUUCACGCAGUAACAAAGAGCUCUGGGGCAGCAACGGGAGGUUAAGGGACAGUGAGGGGGAAUGUUGGGAUACCCUCCAUGCGUCGCUGUCUCUCCCCCCUGCCCCCAUCUCACUCUGGUGCCUGCAGUUUGUGGGGAAGACUUCAUUUGGGAUGUCAGUGUUCAACCUCAGCAACGCCAUCAUGGGCAGUGGCAUCCUGGGACUCGCCUAUGCCAUGGCCAACACAGGCAU
rnacentral:lncRNA from 1 species